UACGAAGGGGGCUAGCGUUGUUCGGAAUCACUGGGCGUAAAGCGCACGUAGGCGGAUCUUUAAGUCAGGGGUGAAAUCCCGGGGCUCAACCCUGGAACUGCCUUUGAUACUGGAUAUCUGGAGUUCGGGAGAGGUGAGUGGAAUUCCGAGUGUAGAGGUGAAAUUCGUAGAUAUUCGGAGGAACACCAGAAGCGAAGGCGGCUCACUGGCCCGAUACUGACGCUGAGGCGCGAAAGCGUGGGGAGCAAACAGGG
rnacentral:rRNA from 1 species